rnacentral:rRNA from 1 species
CCUACGGGUGGCAGCAGUGGGGAAUAUUGCACAAUGGGGGGAACCCUGAUGCAGCGACGCCGCGUGAGUGAAGAAGUAUUUCGGUAUGUAAAGCUCUAUCAGCAGGGAAGAAAAUGACGGUACCUGACUAAGAAGCCCCGGCUAACUACGUGCCAGCAGCCGCGGUAAUACGUAGGGGGCAAGCGUUAUCCGGAUUUACUGGGUGUAAAGGGAGCGUAGACGGUUAUGCAAGUCUGAAGUGAAAGCCCAAGGCUCAACCAUGGGACUGCUUUGGAAACUGGAAAACUGGAGUGCAGGAGAGGUAAGCGGAAUUCCGAGUGUAGCGGUGAAAUGCGUAGAUAUAUGGAAGAACACCAGUGGCGAAAGCGGCUCUCUGGUCUGUAACUGACGCUGAGGUUCGAAAGCGUGGGUAGCAAACAGGAUUAGAUACCCCAGUAGUC